rnacentral:lncRNA from 1 species
UUCAACACAAUACAACAAGUGAUUCAAGUCCUAUCACACCCAGGUAGAGCAACCUUACUUUUGUACCUAAAGAUCUAGAUCACUCACCUUUAAGUUCCCUCAUGAAAACUUAGGGAGUAAGCACAAUUUGUUUACUCUCUCAAAAAUACAUUCCACUGUAAACAAAUAAGUGCUCUCAAUACUCAAUGCAAAACCUUUACUAGUC